rnacentral:rRNA from 1 species
AUACGGAGGGUGCGAGCGUUAAUCGGAAUUACUGGGCGUAAAGCGCGCGUAGGCGGCUAGAUCAGUCGGAUGUGAAAGCCCUGGGCUUAACCUGGGAACUGCAUUCGAUACUGUCUAGCUAGAGUAUGGUAGAGGGAAGUGGAAUUCCGGGUGUAGCGGUGAAAUGCGUAGAUAUCCGGAGGAACACCAGUGGCGAAGGCGGCUUCCUGGACCAAUACUGACGCUGAGGUGCGAAAGCGUGGGGAGCAAACAGGAUUAGAAACCCGAGUAGUCC